CUAAAAGAAGUUCCAACACUCAGAGGUGACAACCACACUGAGUGGAGGAAGAAAGUUGAACUGGCGUUUGUUUGUGCUGAUCUUGACUGGGUUGUGGAGAAACCACAGCCGGUCAGACCCACAGAGCCAGUAAGAGAGGCUACUGACGAUGAUGCUGCAUGGGCUAAAAAGAGAGGGGACUAUGCUCCUUUGGAGCAGUCCUACCUCAUAGAUAAUCAAAAGUGGGUCAAUGCAAAUAAAAAAUGCAUGGCCUUUAUAAAGAACACCAUUGAGAGCGCCAUUGUGGGCUCCAUUGCAGAGUGCACUUCCGCAGGGGAGUUGCUCUCAAAGAUAAAGAGCCAGUUCACUGGCUCUUGA
rnacentral:rRNA from 1 species